rnacentral:rRNA from 1 species
GGGAGUCGGCAAACAGACUGUGAUCCGGAGAUGUCUGAAUGGGGGAACCCAGCUGUCAUAAGACAGUUACCUUACACUGAAUACAUAGGUGUACGGAGCGAACCAGGGGAACUGAAACAUCUAAGUACCCUGAGGAAAAGAAAUCAACCGAGAUUCCCUUAGUAGUGGCGAGCGAACGGGGACCAGCCCUUAAGUUGGAUCGAGAUUAGCGGAACGCUCUGGAAAGGGCGGCCAUAGUGGGUGAUAGCCCUGUACGCGAAAGUCUCUUUGCAAUGAAAUCGAGUAGGACGGGGCACGAGAA